AUACUUACCGGCACAGGGAUACCGUGACACGAAGGCGGUUCUCCCCGGACAGGCUCCCAUUGCACUCCGGUGGGGCUGACCCCGCGAUUUAACCCAAAGUGGUUACUCGAGUGCGCAAUUUUUUGUUAGCGGGGGACUGCGUUCGCGCUAUCCCCUC
rnacentral:snRNA from 1 species